UCAAGUGAAUAAGUGCAUCAGGUGGAUGCCUUGGCGAUGAUAGGCGACGAAGGACGUGUAAGCCUGCGAAAAGCGUGGGGGAGCUGGCAAUAAAGCUAUGAUCCCGCGAUGUCCGAAUGGGGAAACCCACCUCUUAGGAGGUAUCCUUAUCUGAAUACAUAGGAUAAGCGAAGCGAACCCGGAGAACUGAACCAUCUAAGUACCCGGAGGAAAAGAAAUCAACCGAGAUUCCGCAAGUAGUGGCGAGCGAACGCGGAGGAGCCUGUACGUGAUAAUUGUCGAGAUAGAAGAACAAGCUGGGAAGCUUGGCCAUAGUGGGUGAUAGUCCCGUAUUCGAAAUCUCAAUAGUGGUACUAAGCGUACGAAAAGUAGGGCGGGACACGUGAAAUCCUGUCUGAAUAUGGGGGGACCAUCCUCCAAGGCUAAAUACUCAUCAUCGACCGAUAGUGAACCAGUACCGUGAGGGAAAGGCGAAAAGAACCCCGGGAGGGGAGUGAAAUAGAACCUGAAACCUGAUGCAUACAAACAGUGGGAGCACCCUUGUGGUGUGACUGCGUACCUUUUGUAUAAUGGGUCAACGACUUACAUUCAGUAGCGAGCUUAACCGGAUAGGGGAGGCGUAGGGAAACCGAGUCUUAAUAGGGCGAAGAGUUGCUGGGUGUAGACCCGAAACCGAGUGAUCUAUCCAUGGCCAGGUUGAAGGUGCCGUAACAGGUACUGGAGGACCGAACCCACGCAUGUUGCAAAAUGCGGGGAUGAGCUGUGGAUAGGGGUGAAAGGCUAAACAAACUCGGAGAUAGCUGGUUCUCCCCGAAAACUAUUUAGGUAGUGCCUCGAGCAAGACACUGAUGGGGGUAAAGCACUGUUAUGGCUAGGGGGUUAUUGCAACUUACCAACCCAUGGCAAACUAAGAAUACCAUCAAGUGGUUCCUCGGGAGACAGACAGCGGGUGCUAACGUCCGUUGUCAAGAGGGAAACAACCCAGACCGCCAGCUAAGGUCCCAAAUGAUAGAUUAAGUGGUAAACGAAGUGGGAAGGCCCAGACAGCCAGGAUGUUGGCUUAGAAGCAGCCAUCAUUUAAAGAAAGCGUAAUAGCUCACUGGUCGAGUCGUCCUGCGCGGAAGAUGUAACGGGGCUCAAAUCUAUAACCGAAGCUGCGGAUGCCAGUUUACUGGCAUGGUAGGGGAGCGUUCUGUAGGCCGAUGAAGGUGCAUUGUAAAGUGUGCUGGAGGUAUCAGAAGUGCGAAUGUUGACAUGAGUAGCGAUAAAGCGGGUGAAAAGCCCGCUCGCCGAAAGCCCAAGGUUUCCUACGCAACGUUCAUCGGCGUAGGGUGAGUCGGCCCCUAAGGCGAGGCAGAAAUGCGUAGUCGAUGGGAAACAGGUUAAUAUUCCUGUACUUGAUUCAAAUGCGAUGUGGGGACGGAGAAGGUUAGGUUAGCAAGCUGUUGGAAUAGCUUGUUUAAGCCGGUAGGUGGAAGACUUAGGCAAAUCCGGGUCUUCUUAACACCGAGAAGUGACGACGAGUGUCUACGGACAUGAAGUAACCGAUACCACGCUUCCAGGAAAAGCCACUAAGCUUCAGUUUGAAUCGAACCGUACCGCAAACCGACACAGGUGGGCAGGAUGAGAAUUCUAAGGCGCUUGAGAGAACUCGGGAGAAGGAACUCGGCAAAUUGAUACCGUAACUUCGGGAGAAGGUAUGCCCUCUAAGGUUAAGGACUUGCUCCGUAAGCCCUGGAGGGUCGCAGAGAAUAGGUGGCUGCGACUGUUUAUUAAAAACACAGCACUCUGCUAACACGAAAGUGGACGUAUAGGGUGUGACGCCUGCCCGGUGCUGGAAGGUUAAUUGAAGAUGUGAGAGCAUCGGAUCGAAGCCCCAGUAAACGGCGGCCGUAACUAUAACGGUCCUAAGGUAGCGAAAUUCCUUGUCGGGUAAGUUCCGACCCGCACGAAAGG
rnacentral:rRNA from 1 species